AUUGAACGCUGGCGGCAGGCCUAACACAUGCAAGUCGAGCGGUAACACAGAGGAGCUUGCUCCUUCGGUGACGAGCGGCGGACGGGUGAGUAAUGCCUGGGGAUCUGCCCGAUAGAGAGGGAUAACUACGGGAAACUGUAGCUAAUACCGCAUAACGUCUACGGACCAAAGUGGGGGCUCUUCGGACCUCAUGCUAUCGGAUGAACCCAGGUGGGAUUAGCUAGUUGGUGAGGUAAUGGCUCACCAAGGCGACGAUCUCUAACUGGUUUGAGAGAAUGACCAGUCACACUGGAACUGAGACACGGUCCAGACUCCUACGGGAGGCAGCAGUGGGGAAUAUUGCACAAUGGGCGCAAGCCUGAUGCAGCCAUGCCGCGUGUGUGAAGAAGGCCUUCGGGUUGUAAAGCACUUUCAGCGGGGAGGAAGGGCUACUAGUUAAUACCCAGUGGCAUUGACGUUACUCGCAGAAGAAGCACCGGCUAACUCCGUGCCAGCAGCCGCAGUAA
rnacentral:rRNA from 1 species